AGCAAGAAAACUAAAGCAAAAACAUAGAGGGAGUUCGGCCAAGAGGAGAAAAUUUUCUCCUUGAAAUUUCAUCCAAAAAAAAUAAUAUUUUCUCCUAGUAUUCUUACUAAUUCAAAGGUGUUCUAUAACAUGGUGGAGUUGUUUUGGAAGUUUGGAGGUUUGUUUUAUUGAUUUGGAAGUGAAGAAGUAGAAGGAAAAGAUUUUGGUGGAAACGGGAAUUGAAGUUGGACAACCGUAAAAAGCCAAUAAGGUACCGAAGUUUGAUUUGCUAAUCCACAUGUUUAGGACAUUUGCUGCGUCGUUGACAGUGCUUCCUUGUUCGGAGCUUGUAUUUUGGUACUAACUUUAUCUCUGUAUAUUUAGAUAUGUUGGUCAGGGGUACGACGGGGCCCUGUCCUAUCUUUAUGACUAUGCUAUCAUCUGUAGAGGUUUGUAGACAGAGUUAUGUUGUGGGUUUUGUAUAAAUAGUUUGGUUUUUAUGUGUUUUAUGACGGUUUAUCGGC